AUAUGGACAAUUCUCAAUGAUUGCUGUGUAGGCACAACAUGAAGAGACUUGCUGAAUUCAAUAUUCACACAGAAGGUUAAUCAACACAUGUGCAGCUCGUUAGCAACUCUAAUUACCUUCCAGACAGAGAACUCAGCACUCAGGGAACUCCUGGUACUGGUGAGCUGUUUAUCCCAGUGAGCAGAAAAGACACAGGAUCCAGGACAGAUUGCAGAGGAGAAUUAACUGUUAAAGAAACUUUUCGAUCAGCGCUUUCAUCCUUAGAGGUGCCUGUACUGACAUUCAGAAUGUUCCUGGUACGUGCAAAUCUCUAAGGUAGGGGAAGUCCCAAGCAACGGAGCACUGCUGCGCCACAAGGAACAAAUACCAUGACAGUCAUUUACCAUCUACAAGGAUGUUCUGGAGACCCAAAAUACAGUUGAUGCCAACUUCCAAACAAAAGGCAUUAGUCAUUACCAUUAACUGCUAAUAAUGUGAUCCAGUCUUCUGCUUUCCGUGUACAGCCAUUACAACUUGCAUCUGAUAUUUGUUGUAUUGUUGCCGUGGUGAUGGUAGCACUUUGAUGAUGUCACAGAUGACGUUUUGUGCUGCUGGGCGGGUUGCAGUCCCGUUUCCGGAGAUACGGCACCAUUCACUGAGGUGAUGUCGGUAUUUAGACAACACAGUGGUCUGUAAUGCCAUAUACUGGCAAAGCAAUGUAUUCACAAAACUGGAACAUCACGGCAAGAGGAUAUAAAAACCAAAGCUCUGCUUGGUUACCAUGGUGAUUUUAUUCACUGCUUCUGGACCACGGCCCCUGGGGAUGCAAGGUCGCCGGCGCACGCCAAUGAUGUCACCGGGUCUCCUGGAGCGCAGUGGACCGUCCAUGCACGAGGUGACUCUGGUGUCCAUGGGGCCUGACUGUACCACACAGUGAGAUGGUGUAGGAGCUGAGCAAACUUUUCGGAUGGAUUCACCUGUCAACCUGUCAGCGUUCUGUGUACAGGGAGAGAGAUGGUGCUGGCUGAGCCCCAGGCGGCUUCCUUUCAAUAACAGGUUAGACAUCCCUCAGGGCCUUGGGAGACCAAAACAGCAGAAUACCUAAUAACCCGGUCACUGACAAUGGAUAUGGAAUACUACUAAAAUACUGAUAGAAAUAAAACUGUAAAGCUGGGCAGAGUAAGGAAGACAUCUUUCCUUGUUAACAUUAAUUUACAGGCAAUUAAAUAGAGAGUCUCAGCCCUGCCCAUAGGUGAUCCAAACAAGCUAUAUCUCCAGGAGCAUGCUAAUUAUCUACAGAUGAAAUCACUGACAGAAUAAUUU